rnacentral:rRNA from 1 species
CAGUAGCCGCGGUAAUACAGAGGGUGCAAGCGUUAAUCGGAAUUACUGGGCGUAAAGCGCGCGUAGGUGGUUCGCCAAGUUGGAUGUGAAAUCCCCGGGCUCAACCUGGGAACUGCAUCCAAAACUGGCGAGCUAGAGUAUGGUAGAGGGUGGUGGAAUUUCCUGUGUAGCGGUGAAAUGCGUAGAUAUAGGAAGGAACAUCAGUGGCGAAGGCGACCACCUGGACUGAUACUGACACUGAGGUGCGAAAGCGUGGGGAGCAAACAGGAUUAGAUACCCGUGUAGUCCCUGUCUCUUAUAC